rnacentral:rRNA from 1 species
GGGCCCGCACAAGCGGUGGAGCAUGUGGUUUAAUUCGAUGCAACGCGAAGAACCUUACCAGGACUUGACAUACUACAGAUCCUUUUGAGAAAAAGGAGUGCCUUCGGGAAUGUAGAUACAGGUGGUGCAUGGCUGUCGUCAGCUCGUGUCGUGAGAUGUUGGGUUAAGUCCCGCAACGAGCGCAACCCACAUCCCUAGUUGCCAGCAGUUCGGCUGGGCACUCUAUGGAAACUGCCCGUGAUAAGCGGGAGGAAGGUGUGGAUGACGUCAAGUCCUCAUGGCCCUUACGGGUUGGGCUACACACGUGCUACAAUGGUAGUGACAAUGGGUUAAUCCCCAAAAACUAUCUCAGUUCGGAUUGUCGUCUGCAACUCGACGGCAUG